UCGGGUUGUAAAGCACUUUUGUCCGGAAAGAAAACUUCGGGGCUAAUACCUCUGGAGGAUGACGGUACCGGAAGAAUAAGCACCGGCUAACUACGUGCCAGCAGCGCGGUAAUCGUAGGGUGCGAGCGUUAAUCGGAAUUACUGGGCGUAAAGCGUGCGCAGGCGGUCUGUUAAGACAGAUGUGAAAUCCCCGGGCUUAACCUGGGAACUGCAUUUGUGACUGGCAGGCUAGAGUAUGGCAGAGGGGGGUAGAAUUCCACGUGUAGCAGUGAAAUGCGUAGAGAUGUGGAGGAAUACCGAUGGCGAAGGCAGCCCCCUGGGCCAAUACUGACGCUCAUGCACGAAAGCGUGGGGAGCAAACAGGAUUAGAUACCCUGGUAGUCCACGCCCUAAACGAUGUCAACUAGUUGUUGGGGAUUCAUUUCCUUAGUAACGUAGCUAACGCGUGAAGUUAACCGCCUGGGGAGUACGGUCGCAAGAUUAAAACUCAAAGGAAUUGACGGGGACCCGCACAAGCGGUGGAUGAUGUGGAUUAAUUCGAUGCAACGCGAAAAACCUUACCUACCCUUGACAUGGUCGGAACCCUGGUG
rnacentral:rRNA from 1 species